GUUGAAAUAUAUUCAUAAUUUUAUUUUCAACAAAACUUUUAAACAUUUAAUUAAAUAAUAUUUAAUUUAAUUCCUACUAGAGCUUUAAAAUAAGUUCAUUAGAAGCAGCAAUUAUUUCUAGGCUUAGGGGUGCCAAAAUUUUUAAUCUGUCGCUGCUUCUGACAGUGUUUCUCAAACAUCAGAUACUUGCAGAGUGGGUUUUCAGUAUUUUUAUCCCAGCCCAUAAUAAUGACAAAAAUGUCAUUUAUCAUAGAGAGUGGAAUAUAUUAUGAUACAGAUGAAACAUUUGCUUCAGGCUCUACUUUUAAAGCAAUCUUAUUUUUCAUGAUUACAAUUUUCAGAAAGAGAGGGAUAUACUUUAACCUUUCAGCUUCAGACCUGAUAUACAGUAUGUAAAUCCAGCCUUGAGAGUAUAUUUAAUAGACCUACUUUUAAAUUUAUUUUUACUUUAUUAUAAUAUUUUAAGUAUUAUUAUCCUAUUUAUGUAUGUAUUAUUUGUAUAUUUUCUAAAGACCAUUACUUUUUUAGGACAAGAUUACAGAUCAGUAGUGGUUUCAAUCCCUAUAUUUCUAAUCCUGGGAUCUCUGAUAUUUUUUAAACAAUCCCGAUUCCGGGAUUAUGCGAAUUCUAAUGCCGAUAUUUCGGGAUCCUGGGAUUAUUUUAUAUUUAUCACAACAUACAAAUAUCUAUUGUCUUUUCUUCUCACAUUCCAUUAUUCAAGAUAAAAUUGCUGCAAUUGUCAUAUGAUGCAAUUUUUUUUAUGACAUCC
rnacentral:lncRNA from 1 species